rnacentral:lncRNA from 1 species
CGCCAUCGGAAGCCCUCCUCUUCAGAAAUCGAAGAUCGAAGAUCGAGUUCUUCACUCUUCAGAAAUCGAAACCCUCCUCGUCGCCUCUUCCUCUUCCGCUUCCGCUAUCCAACGAUAGAUCAGUAAUCGGGUGGUUCUUUACAAACCAGGUACCAUUUGAGUUUUCAUUCUUCAAAGCAAAAAUUGGAAGCUUUUAGUCCUAAUGGAUACUUUUUUAUACACAAAUGGCUCGUGUGCUUAUUGCUUAAUUGAAUGUGUCCAUUCUCUGUUAUGCACAAAGAAGACCCAAACAUAGAGCUAAAUAAUCUUAAUUAACUUAGGGACUAGGAAGUUCAGAACCUCCAAUAUAUUUUGAUGGAGCCUUGUGGUGCUCUUUCUAGCUAACCAGGCAACUUAUUUUAAUCCGAUCCCUGCACACAAAUCUCAAAUUCUCAAGGCAACUUAUGUAUGCUUAUAUGUGGAAUUGUGUGCUUGUAUGCUCUAUGUUUAUUCAAGCUUUUAUGUAUGCUUAUAUGUGGAAUAGUAAACUUUAUGUAUCUUUUAUUUGUUUACUGUUUAGUCUUUAGCAUUUAGAUAUGGUAGUAUGCAGUUAUGCACUAUGCAAAGUGCCAAUUUCAUCUUGUAUUUAGUUUUUAAUUAUGCUGGUAGCCUGGUAUGUGAACCUUUAUAUUUUACAUUUAAAUAUGGACUAUCUUGAUCUCUUAUUUGCUUAAUUAUUUCUUUAUUUUGAGGCAUAAUAUAGUUUACUAAUUUUUUUUUUUUACUUAAUUAGUUUAAUUUUGUAGCUCUUUAUUCUUAUAUUCUUAAAAAAUAUGAGUGUUUAUGCUAAUAGCAUAAAUCUUGAGAGGAAAAAAACUUAAUUUAAUAGCCAAAUUUUUGAUCCCGAAUUUUUAAUUGGUGAACGUAUAAUAUCCGUAUAAAUCAUUUAUCCGAAUAAUUGGCGAAUCCGUUUUUUAGCCCAUUUUUUCAAUGAAUUUAAAAUUAGAAGACGAAUUUUAUCCGAAUUAUACCCGUACCGAACUUUUGCCGAAUCCGAAUUAACUAACUAUGGUUGGAAUUUGUAGAGCUUAAGCAACAUGUGCAUUACCUACAAUCUUACAAGUAAAUGUCGGCACUUCUUCUUGAUCUCUGUACAAAGACUAGAUAGACAUUAGACAACUUGUGAUAAGCAAAUUUAGUCCUAUCUGAUCAGGAUGAGUUUUCUGGUUUUCUAUUAGUUGUUUCAAAAUGGUUGAAACAUGAUAUGUUUAGAUAGAGCAUUUAAUUGAACUACACUGGAAGGACCCUACCAUUUGACUUGGUUCUGGUGAAAAUAGCCUGUUCGAUUAGCUUUAGGGAAUUUGAUGAUAUUAAAAAACUUUCCAAGACACAAAAGUCCAUAGAGUUGAACAUCGUAACAACCUGGGUAAAUAAACCGAGUUAAACUACACAAGCGACAAAAGAAAUAAGUCACAUCCAAGCAAACAAAAGGAAAGCUAGAGACGGAAUGUUAACCUUGUUGACAUCCAGUAUUUCGUGGGAACUUUUAGCCAAGAGCUGGUUAAGAAUUUUCUCAGUUUGCUGCUUCUCUUGAGCACCCAUCCUUUUUCCUUCAACAACAGGGAGAAACUGCACACGAGGUAAAAAAAUAAUAAGGGGCAAAAUUCGUGUCAAAAUGGAAAAGAAUGGCUCAGUAGGAAAAGAAAAAAUAGUUCUUAUCAAGGUUUAAAGUGUCGUGGCAGGGAGGCAUGCCGUUAUCUGCCUGGCACGGUACGGCACCGGCACGCUUCCGUGCCGACACAUGAUACGCUUGCGUGCCGAUGGAUACGCACGACCUCCUACUGGCACGCUUUGGCACGGACUUAUUUCAAUUCUUUUGGUUCCAAUAAGCUCUUAUAAUGUUAUUUUAGAAAAUUUAAUCAAAUAAUUAUGAAUAUUUGCUAUAAUACUCAUCAAUUAACAUAUUUGUAAACUUUUCUGUAUGUAAAGUACAACCAUAUCUGAUGUAGAACAGAAAUUUUUAUAGGUUAGAAUUUUUAAAAUGCAAAGAUAUCUUUUUUUCUUUUUUUUGAUCAUAUUACAGUCUUUUUUUUAUAAAAUGCAAAAAAAUAAUUUAAAAAUUAUUUGAAAAAAUUAUUUUAAAAAGUAUUUGAAAAAUUAUUUUUUUAAUUAAUUUUUUCAAAAAAUAGUAGACCUAUCAAUAAAAUUAAGCAAUAAAUUAUAUGACAAAUAAAUUAAAUAAAUUUAAGUAUCAAUUGAUUUAAUUUAGUUUUUAAUUUUAUCAGUAUUUUCAAUCUUUUAGCACAAAAAUAAAAUUUUAUAUUUGAUGUGGCUCAAAUUUUUUUAUUGAGUUCGAUUUUGUUCUCUUAAUUUGCCAAAAAAUUCACAGUGCGACAAAUUUUAAUAAAAUAAUUUGUAAAAGAAAAAUAGAUAUCUAUGAUAGAAGCAAAAAAGUUCGGACAAAUUUUUUGUCCGUAUAUUGAUAAAAAAAAAUUAAAUUAUAAUUUUUUUGACUUACCUCAUAAGUAAAUUUUCGAUUUGUAAUGUCUUUGGGGAGAGGCGUGGGGUAUCUAGAAUGCUUUGGAUACCCCAAAGAACAAAACAAAAGGAAAAAAAAAACAAAAAGCAAGAAAAAAAAAAUAGCAUAAUGCCGGCACGGCACUGUGCCGUGGCACGCUGCGCCGUGCCGCUCUGUCUCGUGCGGCACGGCGUUGUGUGCCGCGGCACGGAGGGGGGUCCGAGCCUCCCCCCACACGCGUACCGUGCCACCUUCUUGGUGGCACGGCACGGGGCGGCACUUUAAACCUUGGUUCUUGUGGCAGAAUUGGAAUUGCUGAAGCUUUUGCAGAUGUUCCAUUUGACUAGAAUGAAUCAAAAAAGCACUAAUAUACAGACACAGAAUAUUUUGAUUUAGCCAUAUAGGUACUCGAAAACCUUUGGAAGUCCUAUUUAACUACCUAGUAUUACAAUAUGCUUGAUGUAACUACCUCUCUGCCAGGACUUAUAAAUGUCUUGGAUAAAUAAUUCUAUAAACUAAAAGAAUACCAUGUUAAUUGACAAUAUUCUAUAACUCUUUGAAUGAUUAACAGAACUUUCUAAAAUCAAAACUAAUAAAAGGCGAGACAAUGAAAUUGAAAUUUCAAAGUUCUAACUAUCCAAUUCAAAGUGAGAGCAUAAUUCCUAGUGAGGUUCCUAAAUUGUUAACAAAUAUAAAGACUACCCUAACAGCUUCCUACUGUACCGGUAGCAGAGUGGAAGCUUUAAAUUGAAGCUUCUCUGCUUUUAGGGGCCUGACACUCAUCUUAGCUUCUUGACACAGCAAAAAGUCCAGACUGUUAAUUUGCCAAUUGUCUAACUCGUCGAGUAGAGAACCUUUUCUAAAAAGCAAGCCAAAGUAGGACUUCAUUUGAGCAACAAACCUUUCUAUACUUCCCAGUGUGCUUUGGCGGCUUCUCUCCUGGCAACUUUUUAUCAAAUUUCCCACCACUUGCUGUUGCAGUUGCAGCAAACCCGGCCACAUUCUCAAGAUCCUCUUUGCUUGCUUUUUAAGGUGCUUCUUUGUUGACCUGUACUUUGGUCAAUGUCUAGGUUUUUUUGGUGCUGUUUUUCUUCAUGAUUUGCUAUUUUCUUUUUGAUUUGAUUAUUUGUUGAUGUAGGGUUUAUGAUUUUUAGACAAGAACUUUUGCUAGUUGUUACAUAUCUGACCUUCGUUUUUUUCCUUCUUAAUUUCUGCAGUGUGUCGCAUCACAUCCGGAUACUAUGAUCCAUUUCUUAAAUGGUAAUUGAGAUAUUCUAUGCUUAGUGAGCUUGCUUAGUUGAUGCUCCUAUCGUAUGGUAAUUUAAACUCUUUUUUUAUGGUAAUUUAAACUCUUUUUUUUUCUUAUUUUCUAUGGAAAAAGAGAGAGAGAGAGAUGAG